GGUUGGUGGUUCGAAUCCAGUGAAAGGUUGCAUUGCACGUUCUGCACGUUCACAAUGUGCAUUACGUAUAACGUUCCAUCAUCCGAAACCAGUGACUAACUCUAUUUGACCGUCUCGAGCAUCUUCUCGCUGUAGCGCAGUCGGUUAAGCGGUUGGUACAAACGAUGCAGACAUCGAGCUGGAGGUUGGUGGUUCGAAUCCAGUGAAAGGUUGCAUUGCACGUUCUGCACGUUCACAAUGUGCAUUACGUAUAACGUUCCAUCAUCCGAAACCAGUGACUAACUCUAUUUGACCGUCUCGAGCAUCUUCUCGCUGUAGCGCAGUCGGUUAAGCGGUUGGUACAAACGAUGCAGACAUCGAGCUGGAGGUUGGUGGUUCGAAUCCAGUGAAAGGUUGCAUUGCACGUUCUGCACGUUCACAAUGUGCAUUACGUAUAACGUUCCAUCAUCCGAAACCAGUGACUAACUCUAUUUGACCGUCUCGAGCAUCUUCUCGCUGUAGCGCAGUCGGUUAAGCGGUUGGUACAAACGAUGCAGACAUCGAGCUGGAGGUUGGUGGUUCGAAUCCAGUGAAAGGUUGCAUUGCACGUUCUGCACGUUCACAAUGUGCAUUACGUAUAACGUUCCAUCAUCCGAAACCAGUGACUAACUCUAUUUGACCGUCUCGAGCAUCUUCUCGCUGUAGCGCAGUCGGUUAAGCGGUUGGUACAAACGAUGCAGACAUCGAGCUGGAGGUUGGUGGUUCGAAUCCAGUGAAAGGUAAGUUAUAUUUAAAUGAUUGUUUGUAAUGUGGAUGCCCAUACGUAAUGUGAAUAGGAAGCUCAGAAUGAAGGUAGAAGUAGUGGAUAGAAGACCCAUCCCCUCCCCCCCCCCCCCCCCACACACACACCA